UGGGGAAUUUUGGACAAUGGGGGCAACCCUGAUCCAGCAAUGCCGCGUGUGUGAAGAAGGCCUUCGGGUUGUAAAGCACUUUUGUCCGGAAAGAAAUCCCUUGCCCUAAUACGGCGGGGGGAUGACGGUACCGGAAGAAUAAGCACCGGCUAACUACGUGCCAGCAGCCGCGGUAAUACGUAGGGUGCGAGCGUUAAUCGGAAUUACUGGGCGUAAAGCGUGCGCAGGCGGUUUUGUAAGACAGGCGUGAAAUCCCCGAGCUCAACUUGGGAAUGGCGCUUGUGACUGCAAGGCUAGAGUAUGUCAGAGGGGGGUAGAAUUCCACGUGUAGCAGUGAAAUGCGUAGAGAUGUGGAGGAAUACCGAUGGCGAAGGCAGCCCCCUGGGACGUCACUGACGCUCAUGCACGAAAGCGUGGGGAGCAAACAGGAUUAGAUACCCUGGUAGUCCACGCCCUAAACGAUGUCAACUAGUUGUCGGGGAUUCAUUUCUUCAGUAACGGAGCUAACGCGUGAAGUUGACCGCCUGGGGAGUACGGUCGCAAGAUUA
rnacentral:rRNA from 1 species